UGGAAAGAUGACUCAACCCGGUCGGAACUGCGCUGUCGGCCAUGAAGAGGCGGCACAGCGGCGAGUUCUCAUCUCCGACCUCCCUCUGGUCUUGGUUCGUCCAACCUCGUAACGAGGGAGAAGAAUCGAAGCAGAGAAGUUUCGGCAGCUCCGGCGGUUUUGCAGCUUUUUCCGGCGACUCCGGUCACCUUCGCUGAUGCAUGAGACUUGGAGAGUUGGUGCAAACUGCAAAGCAUGUGUUGGUUUCUGAUCUUAACGUGUGUGUAGCUCUGCCUCUGCAUCAUGAGCCACUAGCAAAAGUAACAGGUUGCGCGCGCCGUGCUGUUACUUUUGCUAGUGGAAGGUUCACUAGCGGUGGAUGGAAUUAAUAGGCUUCGAGUCUUCGACAUUUUAGGUUCACUUCUCUGUGGUAAGAGUAUAAAUCAAUGGCAUGCUGCAUUAGAUAGUUACAGAAGAUUUCCUAACAGCCGUAUCCAAAAAGUCCUCGAAACAAAGGACUAUGUUGAUGAACUCGAAUCAAGUGACGACUAUGUUGAUGAACUUGAAUCAAGUGACGACUUUGUUGAUGAACUCAAAUCAAGAGACCCUGACAGUGAGUCGGCAAGAAGCUCAAGAGAAGAAGGGCCGUCAGGACUCAAGAGAGGCUGAAUUGAUCUUUAAUUGGGUAAGUCCUUCAAAUUCUUCACCAUUCCGAAUUUGUAUACGGUUGAGAACUUCUUCUUUUUUGUGAUAAAAGGUUAGGAACUUAAGAUAACACGUACCAAACAUCCUACAGCUGCUACUAUAUGUACGUUUGUACUUUUGCAAACGUCUGAGUUUUUUUGCUAUUGAUGGUUGAGAUAACUUUCCCCUGUUUUCAAAACAGAGGACUAUGUUGAUGAACUCGAAUCAAGUUUGCUUGAUUAGAGCUAAUGACAGCAAGUUAUUGGAAAAUAGCUCUGGGGAAAAGGGCCAUUAGGAGAGGACAAAUUUGUCUUUAAUUAGUUUGGUCAGUCCAAAUUCUUCACCAUUCCAUUAAUCUUGAAAUAACUGGUGUUACAUUGAUAUAUAAAAGUAUAAGGUUAAGAUAAACACAUAUCUACCCUCCUACGGCUGCGAUAUGAACGUAUGUGUUUUUGACUUUUUGUGUCUGUAGAACGUAUGUGUUUUUGUGCAUGUAGCUAGAGCCUAUGUGUUUUGGUAUACCAGUAUAAUGUCUGACUGUUCUUUUGUAGUCAGUGACAUGAGUAGUUUUCAAUUUUUUUGCAACACAUCUCGAGCAUCCUUGAAAAAGAAAAAGAGCUGUUUUCAAGUGAAAUGGCUGGUCACAAGAUUGCUCUUACCACAUUGUUUAGGAGAAAACCAUCGUGCUGGUGCUUGGUUUGGCUACUGGAGGCCUUUGGAAAAUGCAUCACUGGAACGAGCAGAGGAAAAUAAGGACAUUCUCUGACUUGCUGGAGAAAGGUGAAAUCAGUGUCGUUGCCGAAGAAUAGAUCUUCAGAGUUUCAAACAUGAUUUUGUGGACUCAUUCAAAGUUUGUUAAUCAUUCUCUCUACUUUCCGUUUGGCCCUUGAACUUAAGAUGAUGAGCUUUGUCUGGGUUUUGAAUAAGUUUCUCAAACUGUUGUCGAAUACAUUAUUGUUUUAAAUGGAAGUUGAUUAAUCUU